rnacentral:rRNA from 1 species
UACGUAGGGUCCGAGCGUUGUCCGGAGUUACUGGGCGUAAAGCGCUCGCAGGUGGUUCGUUGCGUCGUGCGUGAAAGACCCCGGCUCAACUGGGGGAUGUCGUGCGAUACGGGCGGACUGGAGGCCAGUAGGGGGAUGCGGAAUUCCGGGUGUAGUGGUGGAAUGCGUAGAGAUCCGGAGGAACACCAGCGGCGAAGGCGGCAUCCUGGACUGGUCCUGACACUCAGGAGCGAAAGCGUGGGGAGCGAGUCCGG